rnacentral:rRNA from 1 species
UACGUAGGGGGCAAGCGUUGUCCGGAUUUAUUGGGCGUAAAGAGCGUGUAGGCGGCCAAACAGGUCAGCUGUGAAAACUCGAGGCUCAACCUCGAGACGUCGGUUGAAACCGUUUGGCUAGAGUCCGGAAGAGGAGAGUGGAAUUCCCGGUGUAGCGGUGAAAUGCGCAGAUAUCGGGAAGAACACCCGUGGCGAAGGCGGCUCUCUGGGACGGUACUGACGCUGAGACGCGAAAAGCGUGGGGAGCGAACAGG